rnacentral:lncRNA from 1 species
CUCUGUCAGUGAUGUGUGCAUGCAUUGACUCCAUAUAGGGAACUAAUGCAGAGAUGUGUUGUUUCUAGAGGCCUUAUCAUCACUGCACUUCCUUAAAUGGGUGCUGAAGGCAUUGUGGCUAAGUAUAAAGACCUCGGGUCCAUGCCCGACAUUUGUGACCUUCCGGAAUUGAGGAGCACUGGUUUGUUUUCAGCAUUUGUUGAAUUGGAACAUAUGCUGUGCCAAUGGUCUGUGGUGUAGGGUGGCAACUGGCGAGCCAAAGCCAGCCAGGAGAGAAUCUCUUCCACAAUCCUCUGGACUUUUACUGCCAUGUCAUUGAUACUGUGCCUCAUCCAAAGUAUUAUUUUCCACAAUUGUUUUCCCACAUGAUAUUUGCACAAAACUCCAGAUUUGAUCAAAUUAGAUUGUAAUUCGAUUUAUAUUCGCCUUAAUAUAUUGUGGGGCAAAAUGUUGUAUAACUACAACUCAUUGGAUAUGUAUUUCACACUUUUUUAUUCCACUAUUCUACUUAUCUUUAGUCUAACUCUUGCAUUGUUCAAAACCAUUAUUUGUCUGUUAUGUUAGAAAAGUGUCUGAAGAAAUCAUUGUUUUACAUGGAAUGCCUUCAAGCAGCCAUCAACAUUGGUAUAUUCCUGGACAGCCUUCUGUUUUCUCCAUGUCUAUUUAUGUACUUUUUUCACAUCUACAAUCAACAAUCUAUCAAAGAUCCUGCAUACAUAAUAUGUAUGUACACUCCACUACAUAUUUAUUUGGACAGUAUAGGCAAUUUUUUGGAAUUUGGCUCUAUACACAUUUUGGAUUUGAGAUCAAAUGUUUCAUAUGUGGGGAUAGUACAGAAUGUCACCUUUUAUUUGAGGGUAUUUUCAUACAUAUCUGUUUCAUACAUAUCUGUUUUACCAUUUAAAAAUGAAAGCACUUGAUGUAUCUAGCCCGCCCCAUUUGAAGUUUCUAUAAGUAUUUUUUUUCUAUAAGAAUUUGGACAAAUUAGUAUAUUCAAGUUGUCAAAAGUUUAGCAUUUGGUCCUGUAUUCCUAGCACACAAUGACUACAUUAAGCUUGUGGCUAAACAAACUUGUUGGAUAUAUUUGCAGUUUGUUUUGGCUGUGUUUCAGAUUAUGUUUUGCCCAAUAGGAACUGAAUUAUGAAUAAUGUAUUGUCAUUUUGGUGUCACUUUUAUUGUAAUAAUAUAAUAUUUUCUACACUUCUACAUAAAACAAAUUUGCAUUGUAAUUUCAUAAAAUGUCCAUAAUAUAUCUGUCGUUAGCAGUGGAAUGAUAUUGUUUCACAGUAUUACUUACCUGCCAGUGUUGUGAUUGGCUUUGAUAUUCGCCUAUUGAUUUAUCCUGUCUCAGCGGCAUCUGGGAAAUCUGUUCUGAGUUUGUGGCUGCGUUAUCUAGUGGAAAUCGCUGAAUUCCUGGUUGCUAAAAAUCUACACUGUUCGCUCAAUUUCAGUUUGUGUAAGAAAACAAGCACUGCAUAAUGUAACGAAUCAUUGUACCAUCUACAUUUGUGUAGAUAUAUUUUAAAUAAAACGAAUACAUCGUUUUUAUAGAUAUUUAAAUCUGGUGAACAAAAACCGCUGUUUGAAGAUGGUGGUAGCAACCAGGAAAUUACAGAGCCACAAAGUCAGAAGAGCUUUCUCUCGUUUAACAGAUGCCGCUCUGGCGGGAGAAAUCAGUAGGCGAAUAUCACAGCCCAUCAACAACACACCAAGAUAGACCACAGCUUGUCGUUUUCAAUGGGAACAAAUUAGUCAUUGUGAGCAGAACAGGCAAGUAGGUGGGCAGAACAAGCCCGCGCUAGCGAUAUACUAUUGGUGGGUUCUAGUUACAUCUGCAAAUUUCCGUUAGGGAACGCCUACUCUGUGAAGUGCGCGUGUGCAGUAACUCAAUUCGCCUUUGCACUCCUAAACAGCGCCAUUUAAAAAAAACUUUUGCCAAGAGUAAAGUCUUAUUAACUUAGUCCGUUCUUUUCAUAAUAGAUUUUAGUUUUCGGAAUAGAAAACUAUACUGAGAUCAAAUGUUUAAUUGAUGAGAAUAUUUGCAGAAUGUCGGCCAAAAUCCAUCACUUUCCAUAUUUUCCCACUGCCAACCAGUGGGCUUCCUCUCACUACCAUAUUUGGUAGUGGAAACGCCAACCGGAUGCUUCACAUUUAUACAUCUAUAGUGAAAUAUCUGUCUCAUUGUUCUAUCUAUGGUAAUAAUGUCAGGGUUCGUAUGGUCAUGAAAAUCAUGGAAAAGUCAUGGAAUUUUAAAUUGGUGUUUUUAAGACCUGGAAAAGUUUGGGGAAUUAAUCAAAUCCCAAAUAGUUUUGGAAAAGUAAUGGGGAUUUAUUUUAUUUAUUUUAAUGUACUUCAUUUUGGCACAGUUUUUAAAUAUUUUAUCAAUCGAAUAAAAAUCUACAUAUCAGCCAGGAUCGGAAUGACGCUUUAGCCUGUCUGUGUUUGCGAGUACACGAGUGGGCCGUUAGUCAAGGAGACAGUCGGAUAUUGCAGCAGCAGGUUGGCCUAUAUACCCUACAAAAUAUGAUAGAGAACAGACUAAUAACUAGGUAGCCAUUCUGUAUACUUCUGGCCCCUCUUUGGACACUGUGUUGACUAACCUCCAGACGAGCGUCAAUGCCAUACAACCCUCCUUUCGUGGCCUCCAACUGCUCUUAAACGCAGGUAAAACUAAAUGCAUGCUAUUCAAUCGAUCACUGCCCCCACCUGCUCGCCCGUCCAGCAUCACUACUCUGGACGGCUCUGACUUAGAAUACGUGGACAACUACAAAUACCUGGGUGUCUGGUUAGACUGUAAACUCUCCUUCCAGACUCACAUUAAGCAUCUCCAAUCCAAAAUUAAAUCUAAAAUUGGCUUCCUAUAUCGCAACAAAGCAUCCUUCACUCAUGCUGCCAAACACACCCAUGUAAAAUUGACCAUCCUACCGAUCCUCGACUUCGGUGAUGUCAUCUAUAAAAUAGCGUCCAACACUCUACUUAACAAACUGGAUGCAGUCUAUCACAGUGCCAUCCGUUUUGUCACCAAAGCCCCAUACACUACCCACCAUUGCGACCUGUACGCUCUCGUUGGUUGGCCCUCGCUUCAUACUCGUCGCCAAACCCACUGGCUACAGGUCAUCUACAAGUCUCUGCUAGUUAAAGCCCCGCCUUAUCUCAGCUCACUGGUCACCAUAGCAGCACCCACUCGUAGCACGCGCUCCAGCAGGUAUAUCUAAUUGGUCACCCCCAAAGCCAAUUUCUCCUUUGGCCGCCUUUCCUUCCAGUUCUCUGCUGUCAAUGACUGGAACGAACUGCAAAAAUCUCUAAAGCUGGAGACUCAUAUCUCCCUCACUAACUUUAAGCACCAGCUGUCAGAGCAGCUCACAGAUCACUGCACCUGUACAUAGCCCAUCUGUAAAUAGCCCAUCUAUCUACCUACCUCAUCCCCAUACUGUAUUUAUUUAUCUUGCUCCUUUGCACCCCAGUAUCUCUACUUGCAGAUUCAUCUUCUGCACAUCUACCAUUCCAGUGUUUAAUUGCUAUAUUGUAAUUACUUCGCCACCAUGGCCUAUUUAUUGCCUUAACUUACCGAAUUUGCACUCACUGUAUAUAGACUUUUUGUUUUCUUUUGUUCUACUGUAUUAUUGACUGUAUGUUUUGUUUAUUCAAUGUGUAACUCUGUGUUGUUGUAUGUGUCAAAUUGCUACGCUUUAUCUUGGCCAGGUUGGAGUUGCAAAUGAGAACUUGUUCUCAAAUAGCCUACCUGGCUAAGUAAAGGUGAAAUAAAAAUUCUAAACAUAUAUUGUAACCUCUAGUUAAAUGUUUAGCUAUUAUUAAUAUGUAUUGAUGUUUUUGUCAUGUCCCAAAAAACGUAUCACCGACACUCGCGAAUAAGACCAUACAAAGUUGAUUCAUUUAAACGAUACAUACAAAGUUGAUUCAUUCUUGUUUUUACGAAACGAACGAUUCACUUCGAGUUGCAGUUCCUGACACAAAACGGUGCGCCUGGCACCUACUACUGUACCCCGUGCAAUGGCACUUAAAUCUUUUGUCUUGCCCAUUCACCCUCUGAAUGGCACACAUACACAAUCCAUGUCUCAAGGCUCAAAAAUCCUUCUUUAACUUGCCCCCUCCCCUUCAUCUACACCGAUUUGAAGUGGAUUUAACAAGUGACAUCAACAAGGGAUCAUAGCUUUCACCAGGAUUCACCUGGUCAGUCUUUGUCAAGGAGCAGGUGUCCUUAAUGUUUUGUACACUUGGUGUAUUCAACUAGUAAGUUAUUUCAAAAGUCAUGAAAUGUAUUUGGUUGUAAUGUUGCAAUGUUGAACAUCAAGGGUGGCCAACCAUCCUCCAGGAGAGCUAAUGGGUGUGCAGGCUUUUAUUCCAGUCCCCCUUUAAACAAACCACAUUUUAGAAAUUAGCUGCUCAAGUGGACCUUGAUAAAAAUCGCUCUGAUGUGUUUGAGCCGGGCUUGAUCAAAAGCCUUCACACCCAAUUAGCUCUCCAGAUUAAGGGUUGACCACAGGUGUUUUAUAGAGUUGCCUAACAGGUGUUGUACUUUGCGGGGGGUUAAGAGCCUUGCACAACCACAGGAGAUGGCCCAUGGGAUCAGAGAGCAGCCGCCCAGUGUCGAUACCACAUUACACUUCGUUAAACGUACAUAGAGGCUUCGUUAAUUGUUGGUCAUGGAAAUAUUGUUAGAAGUCAUGGAAAAGUCCUAAAAUUCCAUCUGUCAAAAAUGUGAAUGAAACCUGUACUGUGAAACACUGUCAUUCCACUAUUAGCGCCAGAUCCGGUAUUUUAUGGACAUUUUCUGAAAUUACAAUGCAAAAAUUCAAAUGUGUAGCAAAUCCUAUGUGUAGCAACUUUCAUAUGGAUGCAUAUGGAUAAACAUGAAUCGUGAAUAAUGCUGAGUGAGAAAGUUACAGAGGAACAAAGAUCAUAGCGCCCCCCCCAAAAAAAUGCUAACCUUUCACCAUUACCAUUAGCAUUUUUGGGGGGGUAUGAUCUUUGUUCCUCUGUAACGUUCUCACUCAUCAUUAUUCACUCAUCAUUCAUGAUUAUCCAAUACAUUAUGUCACGUCCUGACCAGUAAAGGGGUUAUUUGUUAUUGUAGUUUGGUCAGGACGUGGCAGGGGUGUGUGUUUAGAGUGUUUCGGGGUUUGUUGGGUUAUGUUCUAGUAUGUCUAUUUCUAUGUGGUGUUUAUUGGGUUGACCUUCAAUUGGAAGCAGCUGCUCCUAGUUGCUUCUAAUUCAAGGUCCUAUUUAAGAGGGGUGUUUUCUAUGGGAUUUUGUGGGUAGUUGUUUCUUGUUUAGCUGUGUGCCUGACAAGACUGUUAUCGUCAUAUUUUUUUUUUUUUUAUACGUGUGUUUUGUUUUGGUUUUCCUUCUUUCUGCCUAUUAAAAAGAAGAUGAGUAUACACAUUCCCGCUGCGUUUUGGUCUAAUCCUUAUGACACAUUACUUACUAUUAAUUUCUAUUGGUCACAGCAUAAUCCACAACACAACCAAAACAAAUGCAUCCAACAAGUUCCUAGUGUCCUAGGAAUAUGGGACCAAAUAAACUAUGACUACAUUUAAAUCACUAUAAGGGAAUUUGUACAAAUACUUAUUAGCCUUUGAAUGGGGGUGGACUAGAUACACAGAGUGCAUAUACUGUAUUUCUAAACACUAAAACAGAGUUGGAGUCAUUGCAGUUAAAGGUGGCACAACAAGUUGAGUGUAAGG